UGGGGAAUUUUGGACAAUGGGCGCAAGCCUGAUCCAGCCAUGCCGCGUGCAGGAUGAAGGCCCUCGGGUUGUAAACUGCUUUUGUACGGAACGAAAAGCCUCUUUCUAAUAAAGAGGGGUGAUGACGGUACCGUAAGAAUAAGCACCGGCUAACUACGUGCCAGCAACCGCGGUAAUACGUAGGGUGCGAGCGUUAAUCGGAAUUACUGGGCGUAAAGCGUGCGCAGGCGGUCUUGCAAGACAGUGGUGAAAUCCCCGGGCUCAACCUGGGAACUGCCAUUGUGACUGCAAGGCUGGAGUACGGCAGAGGGGGAUGGAAUUCCGCGUGUAGCAGUGAAAUGCGUAGAUAUGCGGAGGAACACCGAUGGCGAAGGCAGUCCCCUGGGCCUGUACUGACGCUCAUGCACGAAAGCGUGGGGAGCAAACA
rnacentral:rRNA from 1 species